GUGAUUCCGUGAGUAGUGGCGAGCGAAAGCGGAUGAGGCUAAACCGUUUCCAUGUGAUAGCCGGCAGGCGUUGUGGGAGCGGGGUCGUGGGACCGUUCAGUACCUUCUGCCGAGGGUACGGGGAGUCAGAAAGUCGGCGUGUUAGUGGAAGGCCUGCUGGAACGGGUCGCCGUAGAGGGUGAGAGCCCCGUACACGAAAACUGCCGUCCUCCCGAACGUGUUUCCCAAGUAGCACCGAGCCCGUGAAAUUCGGUGUGAAUCUGGCGGGACCACCCGCUAAGCCUAAAUACUCCUUGGUGACCGAUAGCGGACAAGUACCGU
rnacentral:rRNA from 14 species